CAAUGGUAUGGCGCCGGGUGCGUACGCGUGGGAUAUACACAUAGGUAAGGAAUAACUGCUGGAAACGGUAGCUAAUACCUUAUAAUGACUCCGGUCCAAAGAUUUAUCGCCUAUGAAUUAGCCCGCGUCAGAUUAGGUAGUUGGUGAGGUAAAGGCUCACCAAGCCGACGAUCUGUAGCUGGUCUGAGAGGAUGAUCAGCCACACUGGUACUGAGACACGGACCAGACUCCUACGGGAGGCAGCAGUGAGGAAUAUUGGACAAUGGGGGAAACCCUGAUCCAGCCAUGCCGCGUGAGUGAAGACGGCCCUAGGGUUGUAAAGCUCUUUCAAGUGCGAAGAUAAUGACGGUAACACUAGAAGAAGCUCCGGCUAAAUUCGUGCCAGCAGCCGCGGUAAUACGAAUGGAGCAAGCGUUGUUCGGAAUAACUGGGCUUAAAGCGUAUGUAGGCGGAUCAUAAAGUCAGGAGUGAAAUCCCGAGGCUCAACCUCGGAACUGCUCUUGAAACUCAUGAUCUAGAAUACUGGAGAGGUUGGGAGAAUUCCUAGUGUAGAGGUGAAAUUCGCAGAUAUUAGGAGGAAUACCAGUGGCGUAGGCGCCCAACUGGUCAGUUAUUGACGCUCAUAUACCAAAGCGUGGGGAGCAAACAGGAUUAGAUACCCUGGUAGUCCACGCCGUAAACGAUGUGUGCUAGUUGUCGGAGUUUAUGCUUCGGUGACGGAGCGAAAGUUUUAAGCACACCGCCUGGGGAGUACAGCCGCGAGGUUAAAACUCAAAAGAAUUGACGGGGAGCACGCACAAGCGGUGGAGCAUGUUGUUUAAUUCGAAAGCGACGCGUAGAACCUUACCUACACAUAAACUAUCCUCUUGUGACUUUCACAGAUGAUUGUCUUCGGAUCUGCCGGCGAGUGAAUAGAUGCUGCAUGGCU
rnacentral:rRNA from 1 species